GCGCACAGCUGUUGGCAUACCGUGCGUCUGACGUCAGAGGAGAUUCCUGCCUACCGAAGGAUGAAUUCGUCUGCCAGAAGGAUGGGAUUGGAGACGUGGUGGGGGGAGACUGCGUGAAUAGGGUGUUGA